AGGGUUAUAGUUAACUAUAACAUUUAAUUUGCAGUUAAAAAGUAUUGAUAAUUCAAUUAACCUUA
rnacentral:tRNA from 1 species